rnacentral:rRNA from 1 species
CCUACGGGAGGCAGCAGUGGGGGAUAUUGCACAAUGGGGGAAACCCUGAUGCAGCGACGCCGCGUGAGUGAAGCAGUAUUUCGGUAUGUAAAGCUCUAUCAGCAGGGAAGAAAAUGACAGUACCUGAACAAGAAGCCCCGGCUAACUACAUGCCAGCAGGCGCGGUAGUACGUAGGGGGCAAGCGUUAUCCGGCUUUAAUGGGAGUAAAGCGAACGUAGACGGUUGUGUAGGUCUGGAGUGAAAGCGCGGGGCCCAACCCCGGGACUGCUUUGGAAACGGGGUAACUGGAGUACAGGAGGGGCAUGCGGAAUUCCUGGUGUAGCGGUGAAAUGCGUAGAUAUCAGGAGGAACACCGGCGGCGAAGGCGGCCUGCUGGACUGAAACUGACGUUGAGGCUCGAAAGCGUGGGGAGCAAACAGGAUUAGAUACCCGUGUAGUC